ACAGGGGGCUAUAAAAGAUGUAACAGAUGCAAACUGUAACACAAGGGCCAUUAACCCUUUCUCUGCCGGGCACACUCAGUCCCCACGCCCCACACCUAUUGUCUCCUGUGCUAGAAGCUUUGCAGAAAACCUGGAAAGUGAGUAUCAGUUUCCACACAUUUGCUGAGAGGGGUGAAGGGAGGGGGGCAGAGAGAAGGGGAAGUGGAUAUUUUAGAAAGCACCUUAAAUUUACCUAGGCAUACAUAGUAGGAGACUUUUAAGUUUGACAUAUUUUAUCAUUUCUUUCCUUGUCCUAUUGAUUUGAAAUUGUUAGGGGAAAUCCUGAAAUAAAGAAAUGGUCACACAAGUGUCUGGGAUGAAACAGCUGGCCUGUCUAUAUUCAUCCUGAGACACACGACUGCAUAUAAAUACAUGUUUAAUAAAGUAAGUUGCUAGUUUUAUGGGCAUGUGUGUGUGUGAGAGAGAGAGACAGGGCAUUUGUGCUGUAAACUUUAUCUUUGCCUGUUACUCCUAAGUCUGGAGUUAGUAAUCUUGCCUUCAUCAUUACAGGGGGAGCAUGUAAAAUAUAUCAGUAGGUGGGAGAUAAACACAUUCAUGUUAGCCGGGCUCAUCACUGUUCCUGGGAACUCCUGCUAUCUCUCUCUCGACUUUUCAGUGCCAAAGUAUGGAAUGGGAUAUAUGUGUGUAUGUGUCUUCUAUUAAAUCCAUGUCUAUAUUACUUUGCCACUAAAAAUACAAUUUUAAAAGUUAUCCUAAUUUAAAACCCUGAUAUCCUGACAGCAGUUUUCUUCCCAGCUGUAGUGCCCCCCCCUCCACUUUGGUAAACGACUCAAGUUCCAUGAGGACUUUCACUUCUUUAUUUAUAAUCACAGAAGUGAGGUGUUACUUCACACACAUACACACACAAAGAAUGAAAUAAAGAAAUGAAACUCGCUAAGCAGACAAAAACAGACAACUUUCUGCUUAGAAAACAGCCUUCUCGGUGGGAGAGGAUGAACUGCCAUGUCUAAGAGAAAGACUUGCCCCCGAAUUUGUAGGUCUGUAACUGACCAAGUUUUGUAAUUAUUAACAGGUAUUUGCCAAGUCCUAAUUGCUGAAUAUAAUGAAUUGGAACUAGAUGCGAAAAUAGAGCAGGACCUCUCCCCUUGAUGAGUUUUUAUUCCAGCCAUAUAAUUCUCAAUAAAACUUUUCCUGGGCUGGAUAGCAAAGGACACCUUUGGUUACCUGAAUGAACAGGUACAGGGGAAAUUAUUUGGGGGAGGGAAAAAGGAGAGAAAAGCAAGGAGAGAGAGUGUGAGUGUAAGAGAAAGCGAAGAAGCCACUCUUGAGAAAAGCUUGCCAUAAAGGAGCUAAACCCACCUGAAAUUCCUACCCACGGACACCCCUUCUCACUUCAGACUCACAUCCCCACUCAAAAUGAGAAAAUUAGAAAAGGAGGAUGGAGGACGAGCACACCAAAAAGGGAUAAAAAGAGAGAAAAGGGGAGGAAAAAAAACCUACCUGCGAAGUCUUGUUUGUAGUUUUGGCCAGAAAUGGUGAGAAGAAAAAGCAUGAAGAAGCCGCGAAGUGUGGGGGAGAAAAAGGUGGAAGCGAAGAAACAGCUCCCGGAGCAAACUGUACAAAAACCUCGCCAAGAGUGUCGGGAGGCAGGACCGUUAUUCCUGCAGAGCAGGAGAGAGACGAGAGACCCUGAAACACGCGCCACCUAUCUUUGUGGGGAGGGAUAAUUGAAGCGCCCUGAGCGUACCAGAGCCAGAAAAAAAAAUGCUGCAUGGGAGCUGCAUCUUAGGGCAUGUGUAUUAGGGUGUGUGCAUGAUGAAUUUCUGGACUGGAUCCCAAUAUUAAAAAGUAGUUUGGCAUUUUAAUAAAGGGUCUCUAAGUAAAUUAAAAUAGAACACUCGGUUGGCCGAUCUCUGAAUCUCUCUACACCUCGGGGAGACCUCACUACAAAGUAAGGGAGAGUGUGUAGGGAGGCAGGAGGAGAAACGAGAAAGGCCAUAGAGAAACUUAGCAGGGAAGGGAGAGCAUGAUAUUAAACGGCAUGGGGUCUAAGUUUUGGAGUAUAUAUUUUUUGAUAUUACAAUUAAAGUAAGAUUAAAAAGAAAAGACUCCACCUUUGCUCUGAAGGGAUUGGUUAUGCAAAUAUGGAAGGGAUUUCCUGGAGAAUACAGCUUUCUACUGUAUGGUUAAUUAAAUAAUCACUCAAAAGCUUCCAACGUGACGCUUCUGUCGUAAUCCAAUCAGGUUACAUAGGUCCUAAACAAGAAAGAUAUUUUCCACAUCUGGAAGUCAGCAAUUUAGCAAGUACUGCACAUUAUUAACCAAUUCAGAGCCCACUUCCCAGGGGAAUUUUUUUGAAGUUUAAGUGUUCUUAACCAAUGCUCUGCUGUUUUGUUAAUCAAAAAGCUGGUUUACACUGCACAUAAUUGGAACUAAUAUAGAAGUAAAUAAAGACAGCCAAAUUUGAGGAUGCUGAGCACAGGCAUUUAUCGGAAAAGGAAGAAAUCUCCUAUCCUCGGAUGGUUCAGGCUCAAUUUCUUAAAUAACUGUGAGACUUUUUUUUUUUUCCUAAAGAGUGAAAGUGCUUGAGAACCUCAGAGCACAAAUAAACUUCUAGCCUCACAGCAUUUAGGAUUCUUCGGAAAGGUAAAGGUGGAGGUGUUAAGAGGACCAGAGAGCUGCCUCACACCAAUUUUUAAGCUUUAAUAUUGUUAAAUAUGUUACACCCUCCUGUUUCCAGUCUGAUGAAAUCUGAAACAAAUAAUACCCUGAUCCAACACUAUAUUAAGAUAAACUGCUUUGAACUGUGCUUUGAAUGUGUGCCUAAAGCAAGACUUUGAAUGCAAGAGUCACUGGCAAUUGCACUCAAAGGAGGGACAAGCCACCACAUGGGUUGCCACAUCCACACUCCCAGAGAAAGCUUCACAUGUGAGAUAAAUGCACUCAAAGAUUCCUCACAAGUAGCUCUUUGGAGCUUCAGAUGUGAAAUGGAUCAUUCCUCAAUCUGUAAUAGACCCUUCUGUGAAGCUCUUCAAUCAAACCAGAGAAUUCAAGAGUUUCCAACACCUAAGAGUGGUAUUUGGCAAAUGGUGGGCCAAAGGAAUAAAGAAGGCAUGCAAAACUCUUGACAGAAGACAUUCAGAAAUUGAUUUGAUAUCAGAUACAAGGAGAAAAUAUGCCAGUAAGAAAAUGCAUUUUUCAAGAUUAAAUUCGGCAUUUGUUACUUAAUAGCAUUUGUCAUAUUCCAAUUUUUCAUAUGUAGUAAAUUCAUUUCAAAUCAUUUCGCUCUUCCAAGUGCCUUUGUGUAUUGUAUUUCUUUUUUCACAUCCUUUUGGAUAACAUUUGAGA
rnacentral:lncRNA from 1 species